GAGGAUAUAGCUUGGUGGUGGAGUCUGUGCUUAGCAUGCACGUGUUUCUGGGUUCAAUCCCCAGUAUUGCCA
rnacentral:tRNA from 1 species